rnacentral:ncRNA from 1 species
UACCUGGUUGAUCCUGCCAGUAGUCAUAUGCUUGUCUCAAAGAUUAAGCCAUGCAAGUCUAAGUACGAGCUCUCGUACAGUGAAACUGCGAAUGGCUCAUUAAAUCAGUUCAUUUGAUCGUACAGUUUACUUGGAUAACUGUGGUAAUUCUAGAGCUAAUACAUGCGAGAAGCGCCGACCUCGCGGGAGGCGUGCAUUUAUCAGACCAAAAACCGGCCGCGUCUUCGGGCGCGUUCGCCUUGGUGACUCUGGAUAACUUUGCGGAUCGCACGGUCUAGCACCGGCGACGGAUCAUUCAAGUGUCUGCCCUAUCAACUUUCGUCGGUACGGUAUUUGCCUACCGAGGUUCUUACGGGUGACGGGGAAUCAGGGUUCGAUUCCGGAGAGGGAAACUGAGAAACGGCUACCACAUCCUAGGAAG